rnacentral:rRNA from 1 species
GACGAACGCUGGCGGCGUGCUUAACACAUGCGAGUCGAACGGAAAGGCCCUGCUUUUGUGGGGUGCUCGAGUGGCGAACGGGUGAGUAACACGUGAGUAACCUGCCCUUGACUUUGGGAUAACUUCAGGAAACUGGGGCUAAUACCGGAUAGGAGCUCCUGCUGCAUGGUGGGGGUUGGAAAGUUUCGGCGGUUGGGGAUGGACUCGCGGCUUAUCAGCUUGUUGGUGGGGUAGUGGCUUACCAAGGCUUUGACGGGUAGCCGGCCUGAGAGGGUGACCGGCCACAUUGGGACUGAGAUACGGCCCAGACUCCUACGGGAGGCAGCAGUGGGGAAUAUUGCACAAUGGGCGGAAGCCUGAUGCAGCAACGUCGCGUGCGGGAUGACGGCCUUCGGGUUGUAAACCGCUUUCGCCUGUGACGAAGCGUGAGUGACGGUAAUGGGUAAAGAAGCACCGGCUAACUACGUG